ensembl:lncRNA
GCUGCAUUUACACAGGCAGCCCAAUUCAGAUGUUUUUUUUCUCCGUUAAUUGGUAUUUUGACCAAUUACAUCCGAUGUUUUCACGGGGUUGAUCAGAUUGGUCAAAACACCAUGCAAUUUGUGAAAAAAAUAUAUAUUAUUGGGCUUCUUGUCUAAAUGCAGUCUACCUGUGCAGAGCAUAUGCCCCUUUGCCCUUCCAGACUCCAAAGUGCUAUAUUACUGCUGUUUGUCUCUCUUGAGCCACCGUAACUGCAUCGCUUUAACACUUCAUCAAAAUAGUAUGAAUUAAUCGAAGAUAAAUCAUAUACAGUAUAUCAUUUUACGGGUUUUUUUCUGAGGAGGUCUUAGUUGCGCAAUUUUACAUCUAACCAAGAUGUUUGGUGCAGUAUUUCUCAAGUGACAAAAUGUGCAUGAAAACUAGUCGUCUCUCGUUGAAUGACAAACUUUGUUGAAGACUCCUUCCCCUAAUUCCCACUUCUACUAGGAGUAGUACUGCUAACCAAUCUCUUAUGAAGAGGCGGUAGACUCAAGAAAACUUGCCUCAAGAAAAACAGACGGGUGCAACUUUGCUUAACUGAGCUCAAGGCUAGAAAUCAACACAUCUGAAGAAAUAUAAAUGAAAAUGAAAGAUGCCAUCUCUUCUAGAAAGAGCCCAGAUGUUACAUCAUCCCGACAACCCUCAGUGAGGAGGAUGGUCCUCCCCUUCUUCCUCCGAGGAGCCUUGAAUUGCAGAGGGCAGUCCAUAAGCGCAGACGAAGGAUAUCAAGGAUCUGGAAGGAUUCUGUAUGGACGACUGUUCUACGAUCCCUCGCAAUGUAUUCUCCAACUCAUAAAACGUUUUAGAAAAAGGCUCGGUGCCAUAAUUCUCACUACCGAGUUUCAAAUUGCCUCUGGAAGCAACGUCACAAGAACGGUUCAUCGGAAGCUUUAUGAAAUGGGUUUCCAUGCCCGAGCAGCCACACAUAAGCCUAAAAUCAACAUGCGCAAUGACAAGCGUUGGUUGGAGUGGUGUAAAGCUCGCCACUAUUAGAAUCGGGAGCAUUGGAAAUGCGUUCUCUGGAGAGAUGAAUCACACUUCACCAUCUGGCAGUCUGACGGUCGAAUCUGGGUUUGGUGGAUGCCAGGAGAACGCUACCUGCCCAGCUGUAAAGUUUGGUGGAGUUGGAAUAAUGGUCUGGGGCUGUUUUUCAUGGUUCCGUCUAGGCCCCUUAGUUCUGGUGAAGAGAAAUCUUAACGCUACAACAUACAAUGACAUUCCUGACGAUUUUGUGCUUCCAACUUCGGGGAAGGCCCUUUCCCCUCUUUCAGCAUGACAAUGCCCCCAUGCACAAGGCGAGGUCCAGACAGAAAUGGUUUGUCGAGACUGGUGUGGAAGAACUUGACUGGCCUGCACAGAGCUCUGACCUCAAACCCAUCGAACACCUUCGGGAUGAAUUGGAAUGCCAACUGCGAGCCAGGCCUAAUCACCCAACAUCAGUGCCCGACCUCACUAAUGCUCUUGUGGCUGAAUGGAAGCAAGUCCCUGCAGAAAUGUCCCAACAUCUAGUGAAAAGCCUUCCCAGAAGAGUGGAGGCUGUUAUAGCAGCAAAGGGGGGACCAACUCCAUAUUAAUGCCCAUGAUUUUGGAAUGAGAUGGUCAACGACCAGGUGUCCACAUCCUUUUGGUCAUGGACUGUAUUUCUAGCACUGUCACAGAAUGGUUGGUUCGAGAGGCCUGCGGGGUAUGGCUAAGCCUAUCCUGUGCUAACGCUAAGGUGAGUCAUAGGCCCUUUUCUCCAUUGAUUUUCAAUGAGUCUAAUAGAAAUGCAUGUGGCAGUAUUGGGCAACACCAACAACUGUAUUUAAACUCCAUACAUUCCCCAUGGAUACUCAAC